rnacentral:rRNA from 1 species
AGAGUUUGAUCAUGGCUCAGAACGAACGCUGGCGGCGUGGAUAAGACAUGCAAGUCGGACGAGAUUUUCCGUUGUAGCAAUACGAUGGAAAGUUUAGUGGCGAACGGGUGCUUAACACGUGGGCAACCUGCCAGGAAGUGGGGGGAUAGCUCGCCGAAAGGCGAAUUAAUACCGCAUGUGAUUAGAGAGGACAUCCUUUCGAAAUUAAAGUCGGGGCAACCUGACGCUUCUUGUGGGGCCCGCGGCCUAUCAGCUAGUUGGUGGGGUAACGGCUCACCAAGGCUUUGACGGGUAGCUGGUCUGAGAGGACGACCAGCCACACUGGGACUGAGACACGGCCCAGACACCUACGGGUGGCAGCAGUCGAGAAUUUUUGACAAUGGGGGAAACCCUGAUCGAGCGACGCCGCGUGGAGGAUGAAGGUCUUCGGAUUGUAAACUCCUGUCAUUGGGGAACAAUGUCCCGCCAUUAACUGUGGCGGGAUUGAUAGUACCCGAAGAGGAAGAGACGGCUAACUCUGUGCCAGCAGCCGCGGUAAUACAGAGGUCUCAAGCGUUGUUCGGAUUCAUUGGGCGUAAAGGGUGCGUAGGCGGCGCGGUAAGUCGGGUGUGAAAUCUUGGAGCUUAACUCCGAAACUGCAUUCGAUACUGCCGUGCUUGAGGACUGGAGAGGAGACUGGAAUUUACGGUGUAGCGGUGAAAUGCGUAGAUAUCGUAAGGAAGACCAGUGGCGAAGGCGGGUCUCUGGACAGUUCCUGACGCUGAGGGCACGAAGGUCAGGGGAGCAAACGGGAUUAGAUACCCUAGUAGUCC